rnacentral:lncRNA from 1 species
UGAAGAGCAAAAUUCAGAAAACUUGGUGAAACCACUCUGUUGUCCAAACUUCAUAAUGACCUUACUGACAAGUUGGAUAUCAGUCCUAACAGCAUUUCUUCUUCUUUUACUGCAAGACCCACCCAGUCUGCAGUCUCAUCUCCAGACUCUCUGCCGACAACGCGCUCAUGAGGAUGUCCCCCCAUCAGCUGGAAAUGCAGCCCGCACCUCUUACCAGCGUCCUGGUGCUGCCAGAGCCCCGCGGGGCACAUCUCUGCUCCAGUGCCAGUUCCACGCUGUGUCUGAGCCAGGCACUCAGGAGAGGGGAAAGAGCGUCAACCAUCAGUUGCUUCGAGAGUCUUUGAGAAAUGAUCCACAAGUCACUCAAGUACAGAUAUCAAAUUCGUCUGCAAGGCUCUUCCACCC